rnacentral:lncRNA from 1 species
AGUGCCCGGUUCCAGCCGAUGAAGGCUCUGCUCAAGCACGAAUGUGUGGGAUCCCAGUCCCCACCAGACAGAGCUCUGCAGGUGCCUGGGCUUGCUGUGGGCGGGCGCUAUACAGCGCACGCAGUGGUGGCCGCCGGGCUAACUCCAGAGUCCCAGGGGCUGCUGAAAAUGGAAGAUGUGGCUCUCACUGUGUCCCCUGGAUGGACAGAGCUGGAUUCAUCUCAGGUGAAAGUCAUACAGAGGUGAAAGGCAGGAGGACGGUGUUCCUCUGACCUCCCUGGGUGGUGAAAUGCAGAAUAAGAUCAGAGACUUGCCUCUAGAUGAGAAACAUCCAGAAGAGGAGCCUGGGCAGACCCUGCGCCACCUGUGUGAAG